UGUUGCUGUCUAUUCAUCCUCUCAGA
rnacentral:piRNA from 1 species